rnacentral:rRNA from 2 species
AGAGUUUGAUCAUGGCUCAGAUUGAACGCUGGCGGCAGGCCUAACACAUGCAAGUCGAACGGUAACAGGAAACAGCUUGCUGUUUCGCUGACGAGUGGCGGACGGGUGAGUAAUGUCUGGGAAACUGCCUGAUGGAGGGGGAUAACUACUGGAAACGGUAGCUAAUACCGCAUAACGUCGCAAGACCAAAGAGGGGGACCUUCGGGCCUCUUGCCAUCGGAUGUGCCCAGAUGGGAUUAGCUUGUUGGUGGGGUAACGGCUCACCAAGGCGACGAUCCCUAGCUGGUCUGAGAGGAUGACCAGCCACACUGGAACUGAGACACGGUCCAGACUCCUACGGGAGGCAGCAGUGGGGAAUAUUGCACAAUGGGCGCAAGCCUGAUGCAGCCAUGCCGCGUGUAUGAAGAAGGCCUUCGGGUUGUAAAGUACUUUCAGCGGGGAGGAAGGGAGUAAAGUUAAUACCUUUGCUCAUUGACGUUACCCGCAGAAGAAGCACCGGCUAACUCCGUGCCAGCAGCCGCGGUAAUACGGAGGGUGCAAGCGUUAAUCGGAAUUACUGGGCGUAAAGCGCACGCAGGCGGUUUGUUAAGUCAGAUGUGAAAUCCCCGGGCUCAACCUGGGAACUGCAUCUGAUACUGGCAAGCUUGAGUCUCGUAGAGGGGGGUAGAAUUCCAGGUGUAGCGGUGAAAUGCGUAGAGAUCUGGAGGAAUACCGGUGGCGAAGGCGGCCCCCUGGACGAAGACUGACGCUCAGGUGCGAAAGCGUGGGGAGCAAACAGGAUUAGAUACCCUGGUAGUCCACGCCGUAAACGAUGUCGACUUGGAGGUUGUGCCCUUGAGGCGUGGCUUCCGGAGCUAACGCGUUAAGUCGACCGCCUGGGGAGUACGGCCGCAAGGUUAAAACUCAAAUGAAUUGACGGGGGCCCGCACAAGCGGUGGAGCAUGUGGUUUAAUUCGAUGCAACGCGAAGAACCUUACCUGGUCUUGACAUCCACGGAAGUUUUCAGAGAUGAGAAUGUGCCUUCGGGAACCGUGAGACAGGUG